rnacentral:rRNA from 1 species
UCAGGAUGAACGCUAGCUACAGGCUUAACACAUGCAAGUCGAGGGGCAGCAUGGAACUUAGCUUGCUAAGUUCUGAUGGCGACCGGCGCACGGGUGAGUAACACGUAUCCAACCUACCGUUUACUACGGGAUAGCCUUCUGAAAAGGAGAUUAAUACCGUAUGGCAUUCUAAGGUUUCAUGACAUUAGAAUUAAAGGUUUACCGGUAAUCGAUGGGGAUGCGUUCCAUUAGAUAGUAGGCGGGGUAACGGCCCACCUAGUCAACGAUGGAUAGGGGUUCUGAGAGGAAGGUCCCCCACAUUGGAACUGAGACACGGUCCAAACUCCUACGGGAGGCAGCAGUGAGGAAUAUUGGUCAAUGGACGAGAGUCUGAACCAGCCAAAAGUAGCGUGAAGGAUGACUGCCCUAUGGGUUGUAAACUUCUUUUAUAAAGGAAUAAAGUGGUCCACGUGUGGAUUUUUGUAUGUACUUUAUGAAUAAGGAUCGGCUAACUCCGUGCCAGCCGCCGC